GAUGAACGCUGGCGGCGUGCCUAAUACAUGCAAGUCGAGCGAACAGACGAGGGGCUUGCCCCUCUGACGUUAGCGGCGGACGGGUGAGUAACACGUGGAUAACCUACCUAUAAGACUGGGAUAACUUCGGGAAACCGGAGCUAAUACCGGAUAAUAUAUUGAACCGCAUGGUUCAAUAGUGAAAGACGGUUUUGCUGUCACUUAUAGAUGGAUCCGCGCCGCAUUAGCUAGUUGGUAAGGUAACGGCUUACCAAGGCGACGAUGCGUAGCCGACCUGAGAGGGUGAUCGGCCACACUGGAACUGAGACACGGUCCAGACUCCUACGGGAGGCAGCAGUAGGGAAUCUUCCGCAAAGGGCGAAAGCCUGACGGAGCAACGCCGCGUGAGUGAUGAAGGUCUUCGGAUCGUAAAACUCUGUUAUUAGGGAAGAACAAAUGUGUAAGUAACUAUGCACGUCUUGACGGUACCUAAUCAGAAAGCCACGGCUAACUACGUG
rnacentral:rRNA from 1 species